rnacentral:rRNA from 1 species
AUUGAACGCUGGCGGCAGGCCUAACACAUGCAAGUCGAACGGUAACAGGAAGAAGCUUGCUUCUUUGCUGACGAGUGGCGGACGGGUGAGUAAUGUCUGUGAAACUGCCUGAUGGAGGGGGAUAACUACUGGAAACGGUAGCUAAUACCGCAUAACGUCUCAAGACCAAAGAGGGGUACCUUCGUGCCUCUUGCCAUCGGAUGUGCCCAGAUUGGAUUAGCUAGUAGCUUGGGUAACGGCUCACCUAGCCGACGAUCCCUAGCUGGUCUGAGAGGAUGACACGCCACACUCGAACGGAGACAAGGUUCAGAAUCCUACGGGAGGCAGCAGUGGGGAAUAUUGCACAACGGGAGGAAGACUGCUGCAGCCAUGCCGCGUGUAUGAGGAAGGCCUUAGGGUUGUAAAGUACUUUGAGCGGGGCGGAAGGCAGUAAAGUGCAUACAUUUGCUCAUUGACGUUACCCGCCGAAGAAGCCCCGGCUAACUCCGUG